CGCUAUCUAUCCUGAGCUCC
rnacentral:miRNA from 3 species